UUAAAAUCGAACGAAAGAUACUUACUUUUGUAUAUUCAUUUUUCCUUAGACGUCAUUUCGCUUGGUAGAAAGACUAUAUCUGUUUUACAGUACAGCCGACAUAAGCGACGUAUAUUAGAAUCCUGAUGGACACAAUACAAAGAGAAAAUAGCUGAUUAUUACAAAAAAAUUAAUUAAAUGAAUUAAGCACAAUAUUUAUUUGAUUGAAAGUUGCUACUGUGACACGAGAAUUGAAGCGUGACACCUUAGUAACGGCGCAAAAACAAUCGAAGGGACGUAAUUUAAUCAUUUAAAUUAUAUCCAUAAAUAGUUCUUUUUCACUUUAAAUUCAAACGCAUCGCAAACUCGUUGUUUCAACUUGAUAUUCUCGGUGGGAUUAAAUGAAUACUAUAACCAUUAAAAUAUUGAAUACACUGUUCCUUCGUCAAAUAAUCGACGUCUUCAUGUCUUUCUGACAAUGGAAGUUUUAAUUUUCCCGGUUCAUCUCCAUUAAGAAACGGUACUGGAAGAUCCGGCUGACCAUACUCUUGAGUCAUAUUUUCAAGUCUCCUCGUUAGCAUGGUCAAUUUGCAAGAAUUAUUAUCAUUCAUAGUUUGCGUUUUUUGUUUCAAAAAAUUUAAAUUUUUUUCUCUUACUUUUUAAGCAUUUCCUCAUUUUUUUUGUUCAAGAAAAUUAAUCCUGUCCUUUAUAGAGGAAAUUUCACCCUCCAUAAAUGCAUUCCAUUUUGCAUAGAGUUAAAUUUAGAUGCCAUGCCUUCCUGCAUAGACUCCAUUUUAAAAAAUACUUAUUGGACGAAAAUUCCUAAUUCUCUAUUUGUCUCUCUAAAUUCAUUGUGAAUAUUAUACUUCUGCUCGGAAAUUUCUCUUUCAAUUACCAACUUUUCCGAUCCUGUCCUUCAAUAUAUUUUAUCAAAAUUUAAUGGAACAAAAUUUGCAGGUCUCUCAAUUCUUAUUUUUCUGAAAGGUAUAAAGUCUUCUGAAGAAUUAUUUGUAGUAUGAAGUUUACAUCCACGCCAAUAUUUCUUCUGACAUCUGCCUGACUAAAUAACGAACGAACUAAAGUCCCAUAUAAGUGAAUUUAAUUUAAACUAGUUAUAAGUACUAUAGUAAAUAAUAAUAAUUUCGAUUGUCUCGCA